GCGUCAGAAAGAAGAAACGUUUAAAUUAAAAGUAUCAUGAAAACAAUGUCCGCUCUAGCUCGGUGACACUCAAUUGAAAGAACUAACAAACAAAGGUUUUGAUGGCCAUUGAUGAUUGGAGAGCAGCAUUGGAACAUUAGCUUGUCUGGGCUAAAAGCCCUACUAAAUAGAUUCCUCUUGGGAAACUUUGUCUAUUCCUUAGUUAAGUUAAAAAUCACAUCACACAUCAUAAGUUACUUAAAAAAAUUUAAACAAAUUCAGAUUAGGAUUUUGAGAAAAUUUCAGCUGAAGUAUUUGUGUGACCUAUGUGCUGCCUAAGUGCUUGUGAAAACAGAUCAAACGGUAAAUUGCAAUAGUGCAAGCU